rnacentral:rRNA from 1 species
CCUACGGGUGGCAGCAGUGGGGAAUAUUGCGCAAUGGGCGAAAGCCUGACGCAGCGACGCCGCGUGAGGGAUGAAGGUCUUCGGAUCGUAAACCUCUGUCAGCAGGGAAGAACGGUCACUGUGCUAAUCAGCAGUGAAUUGACGGUACCUGCAAAGGAAGCACCGGCUAACUCCGUGCCAGCAGCCGCGGUAAUACGGAGGGUGCGAGCGUUAAUCGGAAUUAAUGGGCGUAAAGCGCUCGUAGGCCGUACGUCAAGUCAAGGGUGAAAUGCCCGGGCUCAACGUGGGAACUGCCUUUGAAACUGGCAAACUGGAGUGUGUGAGAGGAUAGUGGAAUUCCAGGUGUAGGAGUGAAAUCCGUAGAUAUCUGGAGGAACAUCAGUGGCGAAGGCGACUAUCUGGCACAUAACUGACGCUGAGGAGCGAAAGCGUGGGUAGCAAACAGGAUUAGAUACCCUUGUAGUC